UUUGAUCCUGGCUCAGGACGAACGCUGGCGGCGUGCCUAAUACAUGCAAGUCGAGCGGAUUUAUCCUUCGGGAUAAGUUAGCGGCGGACGGGUGAGUAACACGUAGGCAACCUGCCUAUAAGACUGGGAUAACUAUCGGAAACGAUAGCUAAGACCGGAUAACUGAUUUUCUCGCAUGAGAAAAUUAUGAAACACGGAGCAAUCUGUGGCUUAUAGAUGGGCCUGCGGCGCAUUAGCUAGUUGGUAGGGUAACGGCCUACCAAGGCGACGAUGCGUAGCCGACCUGAGAGGGUGAACGGCCACACUGGGACUGAGACACGGCCCAGACUCCUACGGGAGGCAGCAGUAGGGAAUCUUCCGCAAUGGACGCAAGUCUGACGGAGCAACGCCGCGUGAGUGAUGAAGGUUUUCGGAUCGUAAAGCUCUGUUGCCCUAGACGAACAGCAAGAGGAGUAACUGCCUUUUGUGUGACGGUACAGGAGAAGAAAGCCCCGGCUAACUACGUGCCAGCAGCCGCGGUAAUACGUAGGGGGCAAGCGUUGUCCGGAAUUAUUGGGCGUAAAGCGCGCGCAGGCGGUCAAUUAAGUUGGGUGUUUAAGCCCGGGGCUCAACCCCGGUUCGCAUCCAAAACUGGUCGACUUGAGUGUAGGAGAGGAAAGUGGAAUUCCACGUGUAGCGGUGAAAUACGUAGAGAUGUGGAGGAACACCAGUGGCGAAGGCGACUUUCUGGCCUAUAACUGACGCUGAGGCGCGAAAGCGUGGGGAGCAAACAGGAUUAGAUACCCUGGUAGUCCACGCCGUA
rnacentral:rRNA from 1 species